rnacentral:rRNA from 1 species
CCUACGGGUGGCUGCAGUGAGGAAUAUUGGUCAAUGGCCGGAAGGCUGAACCAGCCAAGUCGCGUGAGGGAAUAAGGCCCUAUGGGUCGUAAACCUCUUUUUUCAGGUAGCAAAGGCGUCCACGUGUGGACGAGAGUAGAGUACCUGAAGAAAAAGCAUCUGCGAACUCCGUGCCAGCAGCCGAGGUAAUACGGGGGAUGCGAUCGUUAUCCGGAUUUAUUGGGUUUAAGGGGUGCGUAGGCGGAGUGUCAAAGCAGCGGUAAAAUUUCGGGGCUCAACCCCGUCGUGCCGUUGAAAGUGACGCCCUUGAGUGAGUGAGAAGUAAGCGGAAUGCGUGGUGUAGCGGUGAAAUGCAUAGAUAUCACGCAGAACGCCGAUUGCGAAGGCAGCUUACCGGCGCUCAACUGACGCUGAGGCACGAAAGUGCGGGUAUCGAACAGGAUUAGAUACCCGGGUAGUC